UGCGUAGGCGGAUCAAUAAGUCAGUGGUGAAAUCUCUCGGCUCAACCGGGAAACUGCCAUCGAUACUGUUGAUCUUGAGUUCGGUUGAGGUAGGCGGAAUGUGUAAUGUAGCGGUGAAAUGCUUAGAUAUUACACAGAACACCAAUUGCGUAGGCAGCUUACUAGACCGACACUGACGCUGAGGCACGAAAGCGUGGGGAGCGAACAGGAUUAGAUACCCUGGUAGUC
rnacentral:rRNA from 1 species